GAAUAUUACAAUUUUCGAGCCUUGGAACCUACGGUUAAUGACUAUGGAUCUGAGGCCGCUAGAGUGUAGCCGGAAACAGCUACGCUUCCCGGUGCGGAAAGAAAAUUGGCAGGUUUUUAA
rnacentral:ncRNA from 2 species